AUUGAACGCUGGCGGCAUGCUUUACACAUGCAAGUCAAACGGUAACAGGCCGCAAGGUGCUGACGAGUGGCGAACGGGUGAGUAAUGCAUCGGAACGUGCCCAGUCGUGGGGGAUAACGCAGCGAAAGCUGCGCUAAUACCGCAUACGAUCUAUGGAUGAAAGCGGGGGACCGUAAGGCCUCGCGCGAUUGGAGCGGCCGAUGUCAGAUUAGGUAGUUGGUGGGGUAAAGGCUCACCAAGCCAACGAUCUGUAGCUGGUCUGAGAGGACGACCAGCCACACUGGGACGGAGACACGGCCCAGACUCCUACGGGAGGCAGCAGUGGGGAAUUUUGGACAAUGGGCGCAAGCCUGAUCCAGCAAUGCCGCGUGCAGGAAGAAGGCCUUCGGGUUGUAAACUGCUUUUGUACGGAACGAAACGGUCCUGGUUAAUACCUGGGGCUAAUGACGGUACCGUAAGAAUAAGUACCGGCUAACUACGUGCCAGCAGCCGCAGUAAAAC
rnacentral:rRNA from 1 species